UCCCUGGGGGUCCAGUGGCUAAGACUCUGCUCUCCUGGUGCAGAGGGCCCAGGUUCAAUCCCUGGUCAGGGAA
rnacentral:tRNA from 2 species